GACGAACGCUGGCGGCGUGCCUAACACAUGCAAGUCGAGCGGAGAUGUACUGAAGAUUUAUCGGAUGUACAUCUUAGCGGCGGACGGGUGAGUAACGCGUGGGCAACCUGCCUUUCACUGGGGGAUAACACAGGGAAACCUGUGCUAAUACCGCAUGACAUCACGUAGGGCAUCCUAUGUGAUCAAAGGAGAGAUCCGGUGGAAGAUGGGCCCGCGUCCAAUUAGCUGGUUGGUGAGGUAAAGGCUCACCAAGGCGACGAUUGGUAGCCGAACUGAGAGGUUGAUCGGCCACAUUGGGACUGAGACACGGCCCAGACUCCUACGGGAGGCAGCAGUGGGGAAUAUUGCGCAAUGGGGGGAACCCUGACGCAGCAACGCCGCGUGAAGGAAGAAGGUCUUCGGAUUGUAAACUUCUUUGAUGAGGGACGAAUAAAGUGACGGUACCUCAAAACAAGCCACGGCUAACUACGUGCCAGCAGCCGCGGUAAACACGAGAGUAC
rnacentral:rRNA from 1 species